GGGGGAGAAAGAGUGAGAGAGAGAGAGAGAGAGAGAGAGUGAGAAUAUGAGAGGGUAACCUCCUAAAAAAAGUGGGUCAGCUUCUGAUCAUGGGUUGAUUCUAUACCUAUUCCCAAAAGGCUAAACCUCAUAUUCAGUUUUAUAGUGUGUUAUUCACACAUUAAGUAUCUCUAAAGGUUGUUGCAGCUAUGGAAUCUUAAAUGUGCAAAGAAGGCAUGUUCUCAAUAAAUUUCUACAAUUGAAAGGAAAUAUUCGUGUAUUUUGUCGAAUCAGGCCCACAAUAAACGGCGAGAAAUUUAGCCAUCAAAGGCCCAUUGUUCCGGUAGAUUCAAGUGGCAUUCUGGUUCAUUUUGCCGAGAACAAGAGAAAACUGUAUGAUUUUGAGAUAUAUGUAGUAUGUUCUUUAUAUUUCAAUUGGUGUAUCUAAUCAUGAUAAUUUGUCCUU